CUGGGCUCGGGCCUGGCUCUGAAGGUCCAGGAGCAGCACAGACAGAAGCACUUUGAGAAGCGCAGACAUCCGGCUGCAGGCCUCAUCCAGUCUGCCUGGAGAUAUUAUUCCACCAAUCCAAUCAGGGAAGACCUUAUUGCCACUUGGAGGUUUUACGAAACGGUCAUCUCUCUUCCCUGUUUCAGGAAGGACACCUUGGAGGUCAUGGCGAGGUAGGUUACCGUUUGGUGUCC